rnacentral:misc_RNA from 1 species
CCAUGAUUUAACUUGCUAAUCACAGCUUAUGUACAGGUCAAUCAAAAACCAAAAGCUUAUCUCCACAUGAUAAGAAAAAAGCCAGAGUGACAAAAAAAAGUUAACAAAAAAAAAAGCCUAAUUUUAAUUAUAAAUAGGAUUAGGAUUAGCUUUUCUAUAAUGAGGUUUGAUUUUCACAUUCUCCACCGUCGUUUCCGUUGCAAACGGUGUCGCCUUGCCAUGUCCAGAC